rnacentral:rRNA from 1 species
UACAGAGGGGGCAAGCGUUGUUCGGAAUUACUGGGCGUAAAGGGCGCGUAGGCGGCCCGCUAAGUCGAACGUGAAAUCCCCGAGCCCAACUCGGGAACUGCGUCCGAUACUGGUGGGCUUGAAUCCGGGAGAGGGAUGCGGAAUUCCAGGUGUAGCGGUGAAAUGCGUAGAUAUCUGGAGGAACACCGGUGGCGAAGGCGGCAUCCUGGACCGGUAUUGACGCUGAGGCGCGAAAGCCAGGGGAGCAAACGGGG